rnacentral:lncRNA from 1 species
AAGAAACAUGCUUCUCAGGAAGCCUGGACAGCGCAGGAGAUAAACUCAUAGUAGUUGCCUCUUUAGACUCGUGGUGCAGGCCUUGCAAAAUGAUCAAGCCUUUCUUGCAUUCUCUCUCUGAAAAGUAUACCAGAGUGGUGUUCCUUGAGGUAGAUAUAGAUGGCUGUCAGGAUGUUACUUCAGAGUGGAAGUCUAAUGCAUGCCAACUUUCCACUUUUUAAAAACGGAAUAAAAGGUGAGUGAAUUUUCUGGAGCUAACAAAGGAAAAUUUGAAGGCACCAUUAAUGAAUUAA